GGUUACUUUCUGCACCAGUGUGUCUUCCCAACGUUCACUUAUUUGAUCAUGUCAACCAAAGAACAAGCAGACACCUGGUGUCACAUAAGAACUACGUCUAUUAGUUGACAUGUGAACGCGGGUGGGCGAGAGACAGGAAGUGACUCAUUCAGCAAGGUUUCGGAGUUUGCUCUUCUUGAAAUUAAGCGCAGAGUUUCAAUAGAUGUGCUCAGCAUCUUGGAAUCAGUAGAGUCCGCUUAUAUUUCUGAAAUCUCCAUUUAAUCGUCAGCAUCUAUUUGCUGUCCUCCCAGCAGUACAAGCGCUACAUCUGAGAGGAGAGAGCCUGCUGUUCACUGUGCGACGAGAUGCCAUUCAGACUGACGAAGCAGGAGGGCAUUCCUGGCUGAUUGGAAACAAGGCAGCAAAUUGUGACUUUCCCACCACGUUCAGCAGCAUCAGCAACGUACAAGUCCACACAGGCUUUGACUGCACAGCAAGCUUCGAAAAAUGUUUGUCACCAGAGCAAGCUAACUCUUCCAGCUCGUGACAACAAGAGGUUAGUUCGAUGAAAACAUUGCAGCUGUUGAAAAAAUUGAUUUUUUUGAAAUUUCUGGUUGAGAAAAAAUGUUUUUUACUGCAUCAUGAUUAUUUUUCCUUGGCUUCCUUGAUGUACCACCCAUAGCCCAAACCAAGUAUUUUAUUUAAGAUCCAAAUGUUUAUUUAGACACCUCCCUGGUUUCAGUGAUUAAGACUCCUUGCUUCCAAUGCAGGAGGCCUGGGCUCAAUCCCUGGUCAGGGAGCUAUGCCCCACAAGCCAUAUCUAAGAUCCAGCGCAGCCAAAUAAAUUAGUAAGUAAAUUAAAAAAUAAAUGUUUAUUUGCUUAUCUAAUUCUUGGCCAUAGACUCAAUUUCUACAUCAUCCUGGUCAGGAUUCUGUGUGGAUCCUAGGCAUGUUUCCUGUAAAUUAUCCCCAACUUCCAAAAAGCCUAUAAAAACACAAAGAUACCUAUCCAAACAAUCUCCUAUUCUUCAUAGCUGGAACACCCGGGAUAAUGAAUAAAUGUGUCAUUCAUUUAUUCCAUUCAUUCAUUCCAAGACACAGCUGUUGCAAAACCAGCAUAGAACUAAGCUUAAUUUUAGUCUUUGCCCUCAAGAGUCCCAGAAUUUCAUUAGUGACACCAACAACUUAGUGGGUCUUCUCUAGGUAUCCACCUGCCAAUGCAGGAGACGCAAGAGACUCAGGUCUGAUCCGUGGGUCAGGAAGAUCCCCUGGAGAAGGAAAUAGCAACCCACUCAAGUAUU
rnacentral:lncRNA from 1 species